UACGAAGGGGGCGAGCGUUGUUCGGAUUUACUGGGCGUAAAGGGCGCGCAGGCGGUCUUGAAAGUCAGGCGUGAAAGCCCCGGGCUUAACCUGGGAAUUGCGCUUGAUACUCUGAGACUGGAGUACGGGAGAGGAGAGUGGAAUUCCCAGUGUAGAGGUGAAAUUCGUAGAUAUUGGGAAGAACACCAGUGGCGAAGGCGGCUCUCUGGACCGUAACUGACGCUGAGGCGCGAAAGUGUGGGGAUCAAACAGG
rnacentral:rRNA from 1 species